UUGAACGCUGGCGGCAGGCCUAACACAUGCAAGUCGAACGGUAACAGGAAGAAGCUUGCUUCUUUGCUGACGAGUGGCGGACGGGUGAGUAAUGUCUGGGAAACUGCCUGAUGGAGGGGGAUAACUACUGGAAACGGUAGCUAAUACCGCAUAACGUCGCAAGACCAAAGAGGGGGACCUUCGGGCCUCUUGCCAUCGGAUGUGCCCAGAUGGGAUUAGCUUGUUGGUGGGGUAACGGCUCACCAAGGCGACGAUCCCUAGCUGGUCUGAGAGGAUGACCAGCCACACUGGAACUGAGACACGGUCCAGACUCCUACGGGAGGCAGCAGUGGGGAAUAUUGCACAAUGGGCGCAAGCCUGAUGCAGCCAUGCCGCGUGUAUGAAGAAGGCCUUCGGGUUGUAAAGUACUUUCAGCGGGGAGGAAGGGAGUAAAGUUAAUACCUUUACUCAUUGACGUUACCCGCAGAAGAAGCACCGGCUAACUCCGUGCCAGCAGCCGCGGUAAUACGGAGGGUGCAAGCGUUAAUCGGAAUUACUGGGCGUAAAGCGCACGCAGGCGGUUUGUUAAGUCAGAUGUGAAAUCCCCGGGCUCAACCUGGGAACUGCAUCUGAUACUGGCAAGCUUGAGUCUCGUAGAGGGGGGUAGAAUUCCAGGUGUAGCGGUGAAAUGCGUAGAGAUCUGGAGGAAUACCGGUGGCGAAGGCGGCCCCCUGGACGAAGACUGACGCUCAGGUGCGAAAGCGUGGGGAGCAAACAGGAUUAGAUACCCUGGUAGUCCAUGCCGUAAACGAUGAUUACUAGGUGUUGGGGGAUUGACCCCCUCAGUGCCGCAGUUAACACAAUAAGUAAUCCACCUGGGGAGUACGACCGCAAGGUUGAAACUCAAAGGAAUUGACGGGGGCCCGCACAAGCGGUGGAGCAUGUGGUUUAAUUCGAUGCAACGCGAAGAACCUUACCUGGUCUUGACAUCCACAGAACUUUCCAGAGAUGGAUUGGUGCCUUCGGGAACUGUGAGACAGGUGCUGCAUGGCUGUCGUCAGCUCGUGUUGUGAAAUGUUGGGUUAAGUCCCGCAACGAGCGCAACCCUUAUCCUUUGUUGCCAGCGGUCCGGCCGGGAACUCAAAGGAGACUGCCAGUGAUAAACUGGAGGAAGGUGGGGAUGACGUCAAGUCAUCAUGGCCCUUACGACCAGGGCUACACACGUGCUACAAUGGCGCAUACAAAGAGAAGCGACCUCGCGAGAGCAAGCGGACCUCAUAAAGUGCGUCGUAGUCCGGAUUGGAGUCUGCAACUCGACUCCAUGAAGUCGGAAUCGCUAGUAAUCGUGGAUCAGAAUGCCACGGUGAAUACGUUCCCGGGCCUUGUACACACCGCCCGUCACACCAUGGGAGUGGGUUGCAAAAGAAGUAGGUAGCUUAACCUUCGGGAGGGCGCUUACCACUUUGUGAUUCAUGACUGGGGUG
rnacentral:rRNA from 1 species